UACGAAGGGUGCAAGCGUUACUCGGAAUUACUGGGCGUAAAGCGCUCGUAGGCGGUAUACGGACAGUCGGAUGAACGAAAGGACCCGGGCUCAACUCGGGGAACGGCACCCGAAUACUAUCGAUCUUGAGGCAAUCAAGAGGGUGAUGGAAUUCCCGGUGUAGAGGUGAAAUUCGUAGAUAUCGGGAGGAACACCGGUGGCGAAGGCGGCGAUCUGGGUCGAUACUGACGCUGAGGUGCGAAAGCGUGGGGAGCAAACAGG
rnacentral:rRNA from 1 species